rnacentral:rRNA from 1 species
UACCUUUCGGGCACGUGUCCAAGUAGGAGUUUCUGUACCUGGCGUCAGGAUGAACGCUGGCGGCGUGCCUAAUACAUGCAAAGUCGAGCGAAACCACUUCGGUGGGGAAGCGGCGAACGGGUGAGUAACACUAGGUGAUCUGCCCAUCAGACGGGGACAACGAUUGGAAACGAUCGCUAAUACCGGAUAGGACGAAAGUUUAAAGAUGCUCCUGGCAUCACUGAUGGAUGAGCCUGCGGCGCAUUAGCUAGUUGGUGGGGUAAAGGCCUACCAAGGCGACGAUGCGUAGCCGACCUGAGAGGGUGAACGGCCACACUGGGACUGAGACACGGUCCAGACUCCUACGGGAGGCAGCAGUAGGGAAUCUUCGGCAAUGGGCGAAAGCCUGACCGAGCAACGCCGCGUGAAUGAAGAAGGCCUUCGGGUUGUAAAAUUCUGUUAUAAGGGAAGAAAGGUGAUAGGGGAAAAUGACUAUCAAUUGACGGUACCUUAUGAGAAAGCCACGGCUAACUACGUG